UAAUAGCUCACUGGUCGAGUCGGCCUGCGCGGAAGAUGUAACGGGGCUAAACCAUGCACCGAAGCUGCGGCAGCGACGCUUAUGCGUUGUUGGGUAGGGGAGCGUUCUGUAAGCCUGUGAAGGUGUGCUGUGAGGCAUGCUGGAGGUAUCAGAAGUGCGAAUGCUGACAUAAGUAACGAUAAAGCGGGUGAAAAGCCCGCUCGCCGGAAGACCAAGGGUUCCUGUCCAACGUUAAUCGGGGCAGGGUGAGUCGACCCCUAAGGCGAGGCCGAAAGGCGUAGUCGAUGGGAAACAGGUUAAUAUUCCUGUACUUGGUGUUACUGCGAAGGGGGGACGGAGAAGGCUAUGUUGGCCGGGCGACGGUUGUCCCGGUUUAAGCGUGUAGGCUGGUUUUCCAGGCAAAUCCGGAAAAUCAAGGCUGAGGCGUGAUGACGAGGCACUACGGUGCUGAAGCAACAAAUGCCCUGCUUCCAGGAAAAGCCUCUAAGCAUCAGGUAACAUCAAAUCGUACCCCAAACCGACACAGGUGGUCAGGUAGAGAAUACCAAGGCGCUUGAGAGAACUCGGGUGAAGGAACUAGGCAAAAUGGUGCCGUAACUUCGGGAGAAGGCACGCUGAUAUGUAGGUGAAGUCCCUCGCGGAUGGAGCUGAAAUCAGUCGAAGAUACCAGCUGGCUGCAACUGUUUAUUAAAAACACAGCACUGUGCAAACACGAAAGUGGACGUAUACGGUGUGACGCCUGCCCGGUGCCGGAAGGUUAAUUGAUGGGGUCAGCGCAAGCGAAGCUCUUGAUCGAAGCCCCGGUAAACGGCGGCCGUAACUAUAACGGUCCUAAGGUAGCGAAAUUCCUUGUCGGGUAAGUUCCGACCUGCACGAAUGGCGUAAUGAUGGCCAGGCUGUCUCCACCCGAGACUCAGUGAAAUUGAACUCGCUGUGAAGAUGCAGUGUACCCGCGGCAAGACGGAAAGACCCCGUGAACCUUUACUAUAGCUUGACACUGAACAUUGAGCCUUGAUGUGUAGGAUAGGUGGGAGGCUUUGAAGUGUGGACGCCAGUCUGCAUGGAGCCGACCUUGAAAUACCACCCUUUAAUGUUUGAUGUUCUAACGUUGACCCGUAAUCCGGGUUGCGGACAGUGUCUGGUGGGUAGUUUGACUGGGGCGGUCUCCUCCUAAAGAGUAACGGAGGAGCACGAAGGUUGGCUAAUCCUGGUCGGACAUCAGGAGGUUAGUGCAAUGGCAUAAGCCAGCUUGACUGCGAGCGUGACGGCGCGAGCAGGUGCGAAAGCAGGUCAUAGUGAUCCGGUGGUUCUGAAUGGAAGGGCCAUCGCUCAACGGAUAAAAGGUACUCCGGGGAUAACAGGCUGAUACCGCCCAAGAGUUCAUAUCGACGGCGGUGUUUGGCACCUCGAUGUCGGCUCAUCACAUCCUGGGGCUGAAGUAGGUCCCAAGGGUAUGGCUGUUCGCCAUUUAAAGUGGUACGCGAGCUGGGUUUAGAACGUCGUGAGACAGUUCGGUCCCUAUCUGCCGUGGGCGCUGGAGAACUGAGGGGGGCUGCUCCUAGUACGAGAGGACCGGAGUGGACGCAUCACUGGUGUUCGGGUUGUCAUGCCAAUGGCACUGCCCGGUAGCUAAAUGCGGAAGAGAUAAGUGCUGAAAGCAUCUAAGCACGAAACUUGCCCCGAGAUGAGUUCUCCCUGACUCCUUGA
rnacentral:rRNA from 1 species